UUUGCAUUAAUCUAGGAAGAGUUGGGACAUAGUGAAAUGUUAAGUCAUUAAUUAUUUUAAGGUUGUUAAAAAUGUGGGGUGAUGGUGACAAAUUCAAUGGGAUGUUCCAAUAGAGUUACCUAGGAAAUUUGUGUCUAUGGAUAAAUAAAUAUGUUAUAUUGUGGGAGAAAACACCAUCUGGGGUCAAAAACAUUCACACUACUCCAUAGAUUAGAUAAAGAUUAUAUAUAUAUAUAUAUAUAUAUAUAGUAAGGCUACUAUACUAUUAUGAGUAUUGGAGCCCUCGUAUAUAUAUAGACUAGGCUGCAAUACUAUUAAUAGUACAAAUAACUUGGUGCUAUUAAGUUUUCUACUAUUGGAUUAAAAUGUGUGCAGUUAGGAUGAUGUGAGCCCCUUAGGUUUGAGUGGGUGGUUAAUUAGUUGAAAAGUAUAAUCGAACGGAUAAAAAUGAUAAUUAAAGAGGUAAAUCUAACGGCAGAAAACUUGAUAGCACCAAAUGCUUCGUGCUAGCAUCCCAGCCGGACUCUAUAUAUAUAUAUAUAUAUAUUGACAAAGUGAGAACAGAUGUAUGCUUGUGUUUUU
rnacentral:lncRNA from 1 species